rnacentral:rRNA from 1 species
CCUACGGGCGGCAGCAGUGGGGAAUAUUGCACAAUGGGCGCAAGCCUGAUGCAGCCAUGCCGCGUGUGUGAAGAAGGCCUUCGGGUUGUAAAGCACUUUCAGCGGGGAGGAAGGCGUUAAGGUUAAUAACCUUGGCGAUUGACGUUACCCGCAGAAGAAGCACCGGCUAACUCCGUGCCAGCGCCGCGGUAAUACGGAGGGUGCAAGCGUUAAUCGGAAUUACUGGGCGUAAAGCGCACGCAGGCGGUCUGUCAAGUCGGAUGUGAAAUCCCCGGGCUCAACCUGGGAACUGCAUUCGAAACUGGCAGGCUAGAGUCUUGUAGAGGGGGGUAGAAUUCCAGGUGUAGCGGUGAAAUGCGUAGAGAUCUGGAGGAAUACCGGUGGCGAAGGCGGCCCCCUGGACAAAGACUGACGCUCAGGUGCGAAAGCGUGGGGAGCAAACAGGAUUAGAUACCCUUGUAGUC